CUGUAGCAGGUGAAUCCACAUCGCAGCAGGAAGUAUAAAGAAGAGCAGCUCUGAGCAUCUCGCUACUUCAGCGAAAAUAUUUCAGAGAGAAGACUGAGGAGUGUAAGGUAAGGAAAACAACAAAAUAACAAGAACAAAAAUAACAUCACCCUAAAAGCGUACGUACCCUAACAUGGCCACAACCACUGACUGAAACUAGAGAAGAAGGAAAACAUAUUUACACAUAUUAACUCCGUCGGUUACGACGACGGGGUUUCCAGUCAAUACAAUCAACAAGCGAGUCUGCAUUGUGAUAUUAACGUGCAGGUGUCUGAGCACUCCACAGACAUGUGCACCCUUAACGUAGUUCUCGGGGAAAUUCAGCGUGACACAGAAUGUAACAAGAUUGGCUAUUUGAAUUAUAGGCACAACAGAAACAGUAAGAAA